UGAAUACGAGACGCUAAGGCGUCGAAGUAGUGUAUGUCAUACUUCCAAGAAAAGCUUGCACUGUCAUAGAUAAAAAACGCCUGUACCAUAACCGACACAGGUGGGUAGGUAGAGUAUACUAAGGGGCGCGAGAUAACUCUCUCUAAGGAACUCGGCAAAAUAACUCCGUAACUUCGGGAGAAGGAGUGCCUUAUUCGUAAGGUUGCAAUAACAAGAUCCAAGCAACUGUUUAUCAAAAACACAGGUCUCCGCUAAGUCGUAAGACGAUGUAUGGGGGCUGACGCCUGCCCAGUGCCAGAAGGUUAAAGAAGUUGGUUAGCAAUUGCGAAGCUGAUAACUGAAGCCCUGGUGAACGGCGGCCGUAACAAUAACGGUCCUAAGGUAGCGAAAUUCCUUGUCGGGUAAGUUCCGACCCGCACGAAAGGCGUAAUGAUUUGGAUACUGUCUCGGAGAGGGGCUCGGUGAAAUAGACUUGUCUGUGAAGAUGCGGACUACCUGCACCAGGACAGAAAGACCCUAUGAAGCUUUACUGUAACUUGAAAUUGAAAUUGGACUUUAUUCGCGCAGUAUAGGUGGGAGGCGUUGAUUAUAAUCUUGUGGGAUUAUUGGAGCCAUCAGUGAGAUACCACUCUUGUAAUGUUAGAUUUCUAACUUUGAAUCAUUAUCUGGUCAAAGAACAGUUUCAGGCGGGCAGUUUGACUGGGGCGGUCGCCUCCUAAACGGUAACGGAGGCGUACAAAGGUUUCCUCUGAACGGUUAGAAAUCGUAUCUAGAGUGUAAAGGCAUAAGGAAGCUUGACUGUGAGACCUACAAGUCGAGCAGGGACGAAAGUCGGUCUUAGUGAUCUGACGGUACUGAGUGGAAAGGCCGUCACUCAACGGAUAAAAGUUACUCUAGGAUAACAGGCUGAUCUCCCCCAAGAGUUCACAUCGACGGGGAGGUUUGGCACCUUGAUGUCGGCUCAUCGCAUCCUGGGGCGGUAGUACGUCCCAAGGGUUGGGCUGUUCGCCCAUGAAAGCGGUACGCGAGCUGGGUUCAGAACGUCGUGAGACAGUUCGGUCCAUAUCCGGUGUAGGCGUUAGAAUAUUGAGAGGAGCCUUCUUUAGUACGAGAGGACCGAGAAGGACAUACCCCUGGUGUACCAGUUAUCGUGCCAACGGUAAACGCUGGGUAGCUAUGUAUGGAGUGGAUAACCGCUGAAAGCAUCUAAGUGGGAAGCCCACCUCAAGAUAAGUAUUCUCAU
rnacentral:rRNA from 1 species